AUACGGAGGGUGCAAGCGUUGUUCGGAAUCACUGGGCGUAAAGGGCGCGCAGGCGGUUUGAUUAGUCAGAUGUGAAAGCCCACGGCUUAACCGUGGAAGUGCAUAUGAAACUGUCAGACUUGAGUAUCAGAGGGGAAAGUGGAAUUCCCGGUGUAGAGGUGAAAUUCGUAGAUAUCGGGAGGAAUACCGGUGGCGAAGGCGACUUUCUGGCUGAAUACUGACGCUGAGGCGCGAAAGCGUGGGGAGCAAACAGGAUUAGAAACCCGGGUAGUCC
rnacentral:rRNA from 1 species